GACAGAGGAUGCAAGCGUUAUCCGGAAUGAUUGGGCGUAAAGCGUCUGUAGGUGGCUUUUCAAGUCCGCCGUCAAAUCCCAGGGCUCAACCCUGGACAGGCGGUGGAAACUACCAAGCUGGAGUACGGUAGGGGCAGAGGGAAUUUCCGGUGGAGCGGUGAAAUGCGUAGAUAUCGUCUGGAACGCCAAAGGUGAAAACAGACUGCUGGGGCUGUGCUGACGCUGAGACACGAAAGCCAGGGGAGCGAACGGG
rnacentral:rRNA from 1 species